UUAAACUACUAAUUACUAAACCAAAAACAUAUGACUCUGGGAGUCUCGCCACUCUACCUCACACAAACUACUGUCAGUGCUUCACUCCGAGAACCACACACCCUUCUUCUUCUUCUUCUUCUUCUUCUUCGUCGCUCAAAUCUCUUCCAAGUUUUCAUAUCAAUGUUAAUCGUGAUCUGAAUCCUUUUCUCGAACAAGCUAGUACUGAUUUUGAUUAAAAUCUGAAUCGCGCUCUAGUUAUCAGAUCUGGAGCAGGGGUUUAGUGUUGGGAGUAUUAGUGUUUGCUCUCGACUUUGUAUUUGUCUCUGCAGACGAUGUUGUUGGGCUCACCGAAGAUAACUUUGAGAAGGAGGUUGGCCAGGACAAAGGAGCACUUGUUGAGUUCUACGCUUCUUGUGUGGGAACUAUAAAAAGCUUGCCCCUGAAUAUGAAAAGCUUGGUUCCAGCUUCAAGAAAGCCAAAUCUGUUUUAAUUGGCAAGAUAAGAGAGCGUUCAGUGAGUUUAGGAGGUUGGAGUUGUUCUUCAAAGACGAGAGCAGGCAUGACGUUUCCAUUUUUUAUCUCUACGAGCUUGUUCAACACGCUGGAAGUGUAUUGCUUAGAUUGUAAGAGCUUUUUUCAUAUCUCCGAUGAAGCCUAUGCAUUUCAGGAGUAUUUCAUCAGGCAUAUAGACGGAUAUGCUUUGAACACAGCAAGCAAGAAGGAAAGAGUAAUUAACUGUUUAAAAGCAGCCAUAGAAUGUCGGCUUUGUGAGGGAGUCAGGCUAGAAUUGUGUGCAGACAACAGACUAGGAUUAUUUUCUGACAUAACAAGAGUUUUGAGGGAUUUAUAGGUAACUCGAGAGUUCUUGGAAAAGGGAAUAGCUGUUUGCAAGGAUGGUGCUCCUUUUAGAAAAAUUGACAAGAGAAUCAGGUGUUGAUUAGGCUGGAUUUGAUAAUCUUUAAUUCUAGACAUUAUAAAUUCUGGAGAUCAGGUGUUGACUAAGCUGGCGUGAAUUUUACAUAAGAGAUUGGAGGUGGAAAUUGGGAUUCCCUUUGUGUAAUUGUUGUUUAAUUCGGUUGAUCUUUUAAGCGGAAAAUUCAAUUUCUGUUUAUGACUAAAAAUUUACUUGAUAUAUUGCAUGAUUUUUUUAUGGGUACUGUUUUCUUUAGCUGUCAGCUUUGCUGUCCAAUAUUGGGCUUAACAUCCAUGGAGCUUAUGUUUUCUCCACCACUGAUGACUACUCCCUCGAUGUAUUUGUGGUGGAUGGAUGGCUAGUAGAGGGAUCAUGGUCACGCUAAUUAAUUCCCUUUCAGCUGUGGAGGAACCCUUGGUUGCAAAAGCAAAAUGUGAAAAUUGGGAGAGAGACAACAGAUUGUUAAAGAUAGAAGAAAGAAUAGCAUCUGGAUCUUGUGGAGAUUUGUAAUUCGUAAUAUUUUUUGUUGUUUAGAUUUAUAACAUGGUUUAUUACUUUCUAACAGAAAUUUGUGUAUCAAUAUUUUGAGUUUAAUAAAAUAUCUCAUUAUAUAGUAA